rnacentral:rRNA from 1 species
AUCAAUAAGCGGAGGAAAAGAAACUAACAAGGAUUCCCCUAGUAACUGCGAGUGAAGCGGGAAAAGCUCAAAUUUAAAAUCUGACGGUCUCCGGCCGUCCGAGUUGUAGUCUGGAGAAGCGUUUUCCGCGUCGGCCCGUGUACAAGUUUCCUGGAACGGAGCGUCAUAGAGGGUGAGAAUCCCGUCUCUGACACGGACCGCCGAUGCUUUGUGAUGCGCUCUCGAAGAGUCGAGUUGUUUGGGAAUGCAGCUCAAAAUGGGUGGUGAAUUCCAUCUAAAGCUAAAUAUUGGCGAGAGACCGAUAGCGAACAAGUACCGUGAGGGAAAGAUGAAAAGCACUUUGGAAAGAGAGUUAAACAGUACGUGAAAUUGUUGAAAGGGAAACGCUUGAAGUCAGUCGCGUCCGCCGGGACUCAGCCUUGCAAUCUUGCUUGGUGUACUUUCUGGUGGACGGGCCAGCAUCAAUUUUGGUCGCCGGACAAAGGCUGGAGAAAUGUGGCACCUUCGGGUGUGUUAUAGUCUCUGGUCGCAUACGGCGGUCGGGAUUGAGGAACUCAGCAUGCCUUUUAUGGUCGGGGUUCGCCCACGUUCAUGCUUAGGAUGCUGGCGUAAUGGCUUUAAACGACCCGUCUUGAAACACGGACCAAGGAGUCUAACAUGCCCGCGAGUGUUCGGGUGGAAAACCCGUGCGCGUAAUGAAAGUGAAAGUUGGGACCUCUGUCGUGGAGGGCACCGACGCCCGGACCAGAACUUCUGUGACGGAUCUGCGGUAGAGCGUGUAUGUUGGGACCCGAAAGAUGGUGAACUAUGCCUGAAUAGGGUGAAGCCAGAGGAAACUCUGGUGGAGGCUCGUAGCGAUUCUGACGUGCAAAUCGAUCGUCAAAUUUGGGUAUAGGGGCGAAAGACUAAUCGAACCAUCUAGUAGCUGGUUCCUGC